UUCAUGGGAGACUCUCAAAGCCCCCUGUGGUGGCAAGGCUGAAUUUUCCGGAGGGGGUCGCCCGAGUCCCCCCUCCCCCCCCCCCCCCCCCCCCAGGGUGCAGGGGCCAAGCGGCCAGAACAGAAGGCCCUGUCCUGAGGAGGGCUGGACGGCUGGGUUGCAGACAGGCCCGUGUGUCUCAGCCCCGUCCUUGGCCAAGGCCGGAAGAUCCUGAUUAACAUGAAAACGAAAGACAAUUGGGCGUCCUCGGCGGGCGGCCGGCUUCUGUGCGGCUGAGGGGGGAAGGUAAUCAUUCUAUCACUGUCUUUCGUGGCCAAUUAGAUGAUUCAGCAUAUUCCCGGCCUCUCUCUCCGCUGAGGUGAUUUAUAGUGAGCCAGCGCCAGAUGGGGUUGUGUGCGAGACAUGAAAACAUUGGCGGGGCCUCUCACAGCCACCCCGGCUGCUGACAGCUUCUAUUGGAGAAAUUCUCCUCUCAGGCGAAAAUAGCUACUUGCGGGGAUCUCCUCACGGGUGGAAUGAGAAGGGGGGGGGCAGGAGGGUAGAGGUUAGCCCACUCGGCUGUUGUGGGAGAAGAGCUUCGGGAAAACAGCCGAGAAGGCGGUGGCUCGGAAGGAGGCAAGAGGGGCAGGGCUGCUUUGCCUCUGAUGCCUGAGCUCCCGUGUCUGGGGCCUGCAGCGGCAAGUGGGCCUGAUGCCUGGGGCGCAGGGGUGAGCGGCCAUGACGGGAACGUGUGCGUGCACUUGGGAUGGGCCCGAGACGGGCCUCGGCAUCCGCAUUCUCGUAGGUGUUUUGACGGGCUGCUCUGGGUAAUUGCUUUGAUGGGUGGCUCUGUCCAUCCUGGGCAGUGGGUAGCUCGCAUAGCUACUGAGCUGGGAGGGUGAAGGAAGCUGUGCUGUGUCCUCAGGGGUAAGGAAGCCCCAACAUAAUCUUCCUGAAGGAGUCAACGGUGGGCCCCGACGGCUCUGUGUUGUUCGGACGCUAGGAGUUGUUUCCAUCCAUCUGUCUUUCCAAGAAAGAGAGCCUCCAGCUUCUGUAAUGAACUCUGGAUGUCACCCAUAGAACACUGACCAUUCCCGGCCACUCCCUAAGUCACUUAUUGGAAGGCUGAGAGGCCUGGCCUGACAUCGAGUACCACCCUCAUCACCGCCGUCAUCAGUGCUGAUCCACGUCAUUUUCCCUCACGCUUGUGAAAUACCUAUCAUAUGCCAACAAUUAUUCCAGAUGCCUUACAUGCCUCAUUUAUUUCCCAAGACGAUCCUUUGGCUAUUAGCAUUCUGUGAUGGUUAAUUGAAUGUGGCAACCUGACUGGGCCGUGGGGUGCCCAGACAUUAUUCUGUGUGUGUCUGGGAGGAUGUUUCUGGAUGAGACUAACAAUUGAAUUGGUAGACUGAGUAAGCAAAUUGCCCGCCCCAGUGUGGGUGGGCCUCAUCCAAUCAGUUGAAGAUAUGAAUAAAACCAAAAGUCUGAGUUCGAAGAAACUUUGGCCUGCCUGCUUGUUGAACUGGGCCAUUGGUUUCCUGCCCUCAGAGUGAAACUUACAGCAUCAGCUCUCCUCGCUCUCGGGCCUUCAGACUUAGACUAGGACUGCACCACGGGCUCUCCUGGCUCCCCAGCUUGCUGACUGCAGAUCUUGGAACUUCUCAGCCUCCAUAAUCAUGCCCCAUCGUGGAAGGAUUACUGAGAAUUCUCCAGGGCUGCCUUGCCGCGUGCUGGGCUCUCAAACCUCAGUGACCUGAGACCGCUGGUGAUGUCGUGGAAGCUGGAAGGUCACGUUUCCACCAGCUUUCGGAAUGUGAGGCAAGCAGCCUUCCUUCUUCUCAGCCUGGCAUCACGUGACCACUCAAAGUGGGGAGGAGGGCGGAGGCUGCCUGUGCGGGGCCGUGUGUGCACGUAGAGAGACACCUAUGUACGCAUAUGUGUGCGUAGGGCAGAAACCCACAUAUGGAUGUGUGUAUAUAUACACGUGGAUGCCCACGUGUGUACACGUGCGCACUCCUGGAUGCCCACAGAUAGUGCACAUGCGUGUACGUGAGGACACCCGUGUAUACACCAAAACACGAUUCUCUAACAGAUGCACAAAUGGGUCUCUUAAGGCUUUCUUCUUCCCCUUCCCCCAAAGUGUAAAAUUGCCAGUGACUAUCAAGUCGUGUCUACCGGGUUUGAAGGAAGUAGGAUGUGUCUGGGUAACAGGAAAGAAUCCAUGCCAGAUGGUGCUCUUUUCAUCUCGAAGGCCAACAUGUUGAGAUGGGCUUUCACCCAGAGGGGAGAGAAAAUUCUUAAGUCAAUCAAACAAACUAAGCAAGGUGGGGAAGAGACAUACCAUGUUCAUGGAUCAGAAGACUCCACAUGGCGAGGAUGCCAGUCUCCUCCCAAAUCGAUCGAUAUGGUUAACACAAUUCUAAUGGACACCGCAGCAGGAUUUCUUGUAGGUAUAGACAAGCCGAUUCUAAACUGUAUGUGGAAAAGCAAAG